rnacentral:rRNA from 1 species
GAUGAACGCUGGCGGCGUGCCUAAUACAUGCAAGUCGAGCGAACAGAUGAGGGGCUUUCUCCUCUGACGAUUUCGGCGGACGGGUGAGUAAAACGUGUAAAACCCAUCUAUCAUACACGGGUAACUUUGGGAAACCGGAUAUAAAAUAGCAGAAAAUAGUGAUUCGCACGGGUGAGUAAUUAAAGAGUUGGUUGUUCUCACUUUAUGAGAGAUCUUCGCGGUGCAUUAGCUUGUUGGUGGGGUAAAGGCACACAAAGGCAACGAUGCAUAGCCGACCUGAGAGGGUGAUCGGCCACACUGGAACUGAGACACGGCCCAGACUCCUACGGGAGGCAGCAGUAGGGAAUCUUCCGCAAUGGGCGAAAGCCUGACGGAGCAACGCCGCGUGAGUGAUGAAGGUUUUCGGAUCGUAAAGCUCUGUUAUUAGGGAAGAACGAAUGUGUAAUAACCUAAGCACGUAUUGACGGUACCUAAUCAGAAAGCCACGGCUAACUACGUG